rnacentral:lncRNA from 1 species
GAUACAACAUGCAGGGCAUGAACUUUAAAAGUACGAACUGAAUUUUUCAGGAUGUUUUUGGAAGUACAAGAGAGAUAUUUCCAUUUUUCUUCUACAAAAAUAAUUCUUUAUCGAAGCAAACACUUGAAAUUUUUCGUAAUGACCCACAGUUUGAUCUUUCCACAAUGUGGGAGAGAUCAAGCCGCUGAUGGUGCAGAAACUUGACCAGAGUGUCAUUUCAGAGGAAACUGCAAGCUCGUGCGUGACGUUUGACGACACAUUGAGAGUUUCAGACGAAAAGAGGACCUUAUCGCCAUUAACGCAUCACCAUCAGCCUAUCUUGUACUACAUGAAUGGAGGUAGAAACUCAACAUGCAGUAGCGUUUUGCAUGAAUAUGACAUGAGGGUGUAAUAUUGAAAACUUUCCC